UACGUAGGCAGCGAGCGUUGUUCGGAAUUACUGGGCGUAAAGAGUGCGUAGGCGGUGCUCUAAGUCUGUUGUGAAAUCUCCCGGCUCAACUGGGAGGGUGCGGCGGAAACUAGAGUGCUAGAGUGUGGGAGAGGUGAGUGGAAUUCCACGUGUAGCAGUGAAAUGCGUAGAGAUGUGGAGGAACACCGAUGGCGAAGGCAGCCUCCUGGGCCAGCACUGACGCUCAUGCACGAAAGCGUGGGGAGCAAACAGG
rnacentral:rRNA from 1 species